rnacentral:misc_RNA from 1 species
GAUGAAGAACGUAGCGAAAUGCGAUAAGUAAUGUGAAUUGCAGAAUUCAGUGAAUCAUCGAAUCUUUGAACGCACAUUGCGCCCGCCAGUAUUCUGGCGGGCAUGCCUGUUCGAGCGUCAUUUCAACCAUCAAGCCCCCGGCUUGUGUUGGGGACCUGCGGCUGCCGCAGGCCCUGAAAAGCAGUGGCGGGCUCGCUGUCACACCGAGCGUAGUAGCAUACAUCUCGCUCUGGGCGUGCUGCGGGUUCCGGCCGUUAAACCACCUUCAUAACCCAAGGUUGACCUCGGAUCAGGUAGGAAGACCCGCUGAACUUAAGCAUAUCAAUAAGCGGAGG